GCCGUCGUCGACCAGCGGACGGUCAUCCUCGCGAAGGAGUUCGGAACCACUUCUUCUGAGGAAGGCGGGGGUUCGAUUCCCCCCGAUGGUA